rnacentral:sRNA from 1 species
ACAAAAGAGGCAGGGAGAUUAAAUUCUUGUCGAUUUCGCGGUCAAGUCUUGGGAGGAUAAGAUCUUAGGCGCGGUCAUACGCAGCCACCGGUAACGGAUAAGGAUCACGCGAUACUUUAAGAACAAGGCUUUCAGCCUUGUUUUUUUUU